rnacentral:rRNA from 1 species
AGUAUGUGGUUAAUUCGAAGCAACGCGAAGAACCUUACCAGGGCUUGACAUCCCUUGAAGCAGCUAGAGAUAGCUGUGUCCUUCGGGACAAGGAGACAGGUGGUGCAUGGUUGUCGUCAGCUCGUGUCGUGAGAUGUUGGGUUAAGUCCCGCAACGAGCGCAACCCCUGUGGUUAGUUGCCAGCAAGUAGCUUGGGCACUCUGGCCAGACUGCCGGUGAUAAAUCGGAGGAAGGUGGGGACGACGUCAAAUCAUCAUGCCCUUUAUGUCCUGGGCUACACACGUACUACAAUGGCCGUUACAACGGGAAGCGAAGGAGCAAUCCGGAGCAAAUCCCUUAAAGCCAAUCUCAGUUCGGAUUGUAGGCUGCAACUCGCCUACAUGAAGUCGGAAUCGCUAGUAAUCGCGGAUCAGCACGCCGCGGUGAAUACGUUCCCGGGCCUU